AAAAAGAAAAAGCGUGAGUCCAGUCCUCUUACCCCACUGUAACAUCCAAUAUUGUUGAGUGUUUUGAGGUCUGAAGAUGAAAGAAACAGGCUAUUGGACAGUCACACAUCUGUGUGUAUCCGCCAUUGAUUACGGUUGUACAGCUGCACCUGUAUUUGAUUGUGGGAAUGGAAGGGUAGGUUUGGGACUGGAAUUUAUUUUUGGAACCACAGUACCAGUUUUCUGUGAGAUUAGUAUGAUUUUUAAUCAUUUGUGGUUUGCUUUUUAUUGC
rnacentral:lncRNA from 14 species